UAUGAAAGCACUGAUCGUAAAACGCACCCGAGGGUCCUGAACUAUUGGACGCGGAAGAUUGAUCUUCCUCGGUACGCGCGGUGGCCACCCCAGCGUACAAACAUAUCAUUACGAUGAGCCACUGCAUCUGCACAGAGAAUAGGGAACCUAUCGAUUGAAAAAAUAAUUCUGCAACAAUCAAGGUGAUUUGUAUGCCCCUGCAGUUGCCACUAAGUACGUACGUACACGACCUAUGAUGUCUGGGUAGGAAGAAGAGAAUACAACUCACGCGUUCGCAUUCGAGGUGGGCGUGAUAAGAAGAAUACCGAAUCGUGACGAAUGAACCACCCGUAUAUUUGGCGAGAAUUUGAAGUUCGACGAUCGCAGAGGAUAGAUCGUGGUAAACGUAUACCAGAUGAAAAUAACUUUGAUAUCAAGUCUUGCGGUAUCCAGAUAACGAUUCUCAAUAGUCAAUUGCUCUCGCGCAUGGCGCAAAUCCAACGUGAGAUAACAGAGUAUGUAUUUACGCGGAACGAUAUAAGUAUAAAUUAAAUAAAUCAAGCUGCCAUCGCGAUGAUAAUUAGAACUAUGUGGUGAUACAGAUUUAUACCUAGAAAAGGAAGACGUACGCAUACGUGUAUGCGUGGACUAUGAACAUCUCGCGAAAUUGGGUUGUACAAAUUUUAUACGAGUGUUUCAUCAUUGUCAUUUGGAGGUAAAAUUCGGUAACUCCCUGUGUAAAUAUUGUGUGUGGUGUAGAGGAGCGCGCGGUGAGGAUAAAACGUUCUUCACUGCAGACAUUGCGCCGUUCAAUGCGCGAUACGUAGAAUUUCUCGGUAGAAUUUUAUCUCGUCUACCCCGAUACCGAAAUAUACAAUUUAUGUGAAAUUUUUACGAUUAAUGUUCAUCCACGUUUAUCAGGAGUAUGAAUUAUUAUUCUGACAAACAUAAGAAAUGAUACACAGCGCGAUAUCCGUACGCAUCUAUACCCACGUGAGAAAUCGCAUCAGGGGAAAAUCUACUUUUAUUUACCCCCAUUAUAGAUUUAUAAUUUAGUGAAAAAAAUACAACAGAAGAUAGGCGAUGCAUACAAAUGGGAAUUUUCACGUUACAUCUAAUCUUCAGUUAACGAUGAGCUAACAAUUAAUUUUCAACCAGAGGAGCGACAGAACUGUCGCACCUAACGAUCGCGAAUUGAGAUCUUUAAUUAUUUAUGGAGUCUCUGAUCUUUCCGGAACGAGUAACGUCAGAUUAGGUCAGAUAUAACUUAUAAAUGUCAAGGAUAGCAUAGAGAUGAUAAUUAUUUAGCGAACGAUUGAUUGCCGGAUUAUACAGUCAGCGCAAGUCGAUCGUAGAGUCAAUGAACUGUCGGAACUUUGUUGCCACUUUGGUCGCCGUCUGCUGUGGCUACGUAUCGAUCAAAUCAGAAUUCUGAAUUCGUUGGUACGUACGGUAUGCCCAUCCACCUGAUGGUGCUACAAACAUUGAUUGAAAAAAGUAAAUGCAAUGAUCGGUGUGUUAACUAAGACGUAGUAAAAUUGGCGUUUUACCUUUCACGUGUAUUUUCCAAUCAGCAAAACAGCUGUUCUCUCACGUUUUUCCAACUGUCCAUUCCAAGGUCAGGCACGAAUCCAAAGUAUACCAUGGACAUUCGAAAGUUGACGAUAGCGAUCGCUAGUUUUAAUAUCACUUACAGUUCAGUGAUUACUGCAAACUAUUAAUAGCCCUUGUUGUCGCUGGUUUUUUUGGUUCGUUUCCGAUUCUAAAAUUGCUACGACAAAUUGUACGUACUUAAAUUGCGUGAAUGUACGUAUAGGUAUGCAACUAUGGGCAUACAGUGACAGCUCUGCGAGCUGGAUGGCUCGUGAUGUCAGAAAUCGAAACGAUGAUAAACAGCGUGCGGGUACUCGAUUAAAUUAAUUAAUUAAUUCGCUUGACCGCAAUGUCGACACCCUGGUUUUCAGGGGCUGCCCUCAUGAAUUAGUUCAAAUAGUCUGUCGGCUUGAACAGUUUGCUUGAAAUUAAAUUACAAUGGAUUCGUCGUAACUUUUCUCCCUCCUACAUCGAUCGUGCGACGUUAAACGAUGAUCAUUUCAUGUUCCGCAAUCGCGGAUCACCAGCUGCAGCCUUGUUAUAUUCUUACUAUCGUCCAAUGAGUAGACCCGACACCGCGUCGCACUGAAAUCUUGAACCGCCUGCGGCAACGAAUUCUGAAUUCGUUGUCCUGCAGAGUUAGGAAUAGAGAAAAUUUGGUAGAUAGUAAUGAAAACAGAUACGUGCGGAAUAUGCGACCGUGAAGAACA